rnacentral:rRNA from 1 species
UGGUAAUGCCGGAUGCUCCGACUCCUCGCAUGGGGUGUCGGGAAAGAUUUCAUCGGUAUGGGAUGGGGUCGCGUCCUAUCAGGUAGUCGGCGGGGUAACGGCCCACCGAGCCUACGACGGGUAGCCGGCCUGAGAGGGCGACCGGCCACAUUGGGACUGAGAUACGGCCCAGACUCCUACGGGAGGCAGCAGUGGGGAAUAUUGCACAAUGGGCGCAAGCCUGAUGCAGCGACGCCGCGUGCGGGAUGACGGCCUUCGGGUUGUAAACCGCUUUUGAUCGGGAGCAAGCCUUCGGGUGAGUGUACCUUUCGAAUAAGCACCGGCUAACUACGUGCCAGCAGCCGCGGUAAUACGUAGGGUGCAAGCGUUAUCCGGAAUUAUUGGGCGUAAAGGGCUCGUAGGCGGUUCGUCGCGUCCGGUGUGAAAGUCCAUCGCUUAACGGUGGAUCUGCGCCGGGUACGGGCGGGCUGGAGUGCGGUAGGGGAGACUGGAAUUCCCG